UUCUGUCUGGUUGAGGUUAUUUGUAUGAACAUCUGUUUGUGAAUUUGAAAAGUCUGUAUUGGCAGUUCUUUGUUGCAGGUUGGCUUUCAGGAUGUAAGUGAAUUGGAGGCAACUCUUUGAGCCUGGUGUCUGUGUAGGAGCUGGCAGCUAAAGCGAACGGAGCGAGCAGCAAACAGGGCAGCAGCCAACAGAAAUAUUGACCUGGAAAAUGUCCAGGAGGACCCCAGGUGUAAGUGUGGCUUUUGGGGAGAGGGGCUGUUUUGUGAUCUGGUGGGGUAAGUAUCCAAGUAUCUUUUUGUGAUCAUUCGUUUGAAAAGUGUGUAUUGGGAGUUCCUGCUUUCCAGGUUAGUCUUCAGGACCUGCGUGGAUUGGAGGCAAGUCUCUGGGUCGGGUGUCCAUCUAGUAGUUAGCAGCCAGAGCGAACAGAGUGAGCAACAAACAAGGCAGCAGCCAAGACGAGAGUUUGCCUGGGAAACAUCUAAGAGGAGCUCAGAUAAAUCUGGGUUUUGGUGGGCUAUGUUGUGAUCUGGUGGGUAAGUAUUCAAGUGUCUGUCUGUCUGUGAUAAUUUGCUUGAAAAGUUCAGCAGUUUGAAAAGUGUAUAUUGGAAGUUCUUUGUUCCAGGUGGGCCUUGAGGGGCUGAUUGGAGGCAAGGCUUUGAGACAGGUAUGCUAGCAGCCAGCAGCUUUAUAUAAAAGGCAUCUAGCAUAAACGGACUGAGUAGCGAACAGGGAAGCAGCAAACAGGGAAGUUUGCCUGUGAAACGACCAUGAGAAGCACAGUUUGAAAAGUGUGUAUUGGGAGUUCUUUGUUUGAGGUUGGCCUUCCGUACAUGAGUGGAUUUGGAGGCAAGUCUCUGAGCCAGGUGUCCAUCUAGCAGCUAGAGCAAACAGAGUGAGCAGCAAACAGGACAGCUGCGAACAGAGGAAUUGUCCUGGGAAACUUCUGAGAGGAGAACAGGUAAGUGUGACUUUUGGGGGAUUGUUUUGUGAUCCAGUGGGAUUAGUAUCCAAGUGUUGUCUGUCUGUCUUUGAUCAUUUGUUUGACCAUGUGUUUCACAAUUUGAAAUGUGCAGCAGUGUGAAAAGUGUGUAUUGGGAUAUCUUUUUUCCACUCCGGCCUUCAGAACCUGAUUAGAUCUGAAGCAAGUAUUUGUGCUGCGUGUCCUUCUAGGAGCCAGUAGCCUUAUAAAAAAGGCAUCUAGAGCAAACAGACUGAGCAGAGAAAAGGACAGUUUGCCUGGAAAAUGUCUGGGAGGAGCUCAGUUUGAAAUGUGCAGCAGUUUGAAAAGUAUAUAUUGGGAGUUCUUUGUUCCUGGUUAGCUUUCGCAACAUGAGUGGAUUGGAGGCAAGUCUUUAUGCCAGGUGUCCUUCUUGGACCCAGAAGCCUUAUAAAAAAGGCAUCUAGAGCAAAUGGACUGAGCAGUGAACAGGGCAGCAACCAACCGGAGACUUGACCUGGGAAAUGUCCAGGAAGAGCUCAGGUGGGCCUAAAAGGGCUAAUUGGUUUGGAGGAAGGCUUUGAGAUGGACCUCCUAUUUGGAAUUAGCAGCCUUACAAAAAAGGCAUCCACAGAGAACAUGUCAGCAGCCAACAGGGUUGAUUGCCUGGGCAAUGUCCAAGAGGAGCUAAGGUAAAUGUGGAUUUUCAGGAGCUGUUCUUUGAUCUGGUGGGGGUAAGUAUCCAAGUGUCUUUCUUUCUGCGAUCAUUUGUUAGAAAUGUGCGGCAGUUUGAAAAGUGUGUAUUGCGAGUUCUAUGUUCCAGGCUGGCCUUUUGCAUCUCAUUGGAUUGGAGUCAAGUCUUUGAUCCGCGUGUCCAUGUAGGAGCUAGCAGCCUUAUAAAAAAGGCACCCAGAGCAAACAGACUGAGUAGCCAACAGAGCAGUCUGCCUGCAAAAUGUCCAAAAGGAGAACUGAUAAAUGUGGCUUUUGGUCGGCUGUGUUGUGAGCUGGUGGGGUCAGCCAUCAGGACCUGGUUGGUUUGGAGGUUGGGUUUUUGUCUAGGAGGAAGCAGCCAGAACGAACGGAGUUAGAAGGGAUCAGGGACAGCAGCCAACAGAGAAAUUGGCAAGGGAAACAUCUGGGAGGAGUACAGGUCAGACUUCAGGACUUGGUUGGAUUGGAGACAAGGCUUUGAGACAGGUGUCCUAGGAGCCCGCAGCCUUAUAAAAAUGGCCUCUAGAGCAAACAGACUGAGCAGUGAACAGGGGAGUUUGCCUGUGAAACAAGCAGGAGGAGCACAGGUUGGCCAUCAGGACCUGAUAGGAUUGGAGGCAAGGCAUUGAGCCAGAUAUCAUUGAAGGAGCCAGCAGCAUUAUAAAAAAGGCAUCCAGAGCAAAUGGACUGAGCAGCCAAUAAGAGAGUUUGACUGAGAAAUGUCUGAGAGGAGCUCAGGUAAGUGUGGUUUUUUGGGAGCUUUGUUUUGAGGUGGUAGGUGAGUAUCCAAGUGUCUGUCUGGUUGGGAACAUUUGUUUAAAAAGUGUGCCAGAUUUUAAAGUGGGAAUUGGGAGUGCUUUGUUCCAGGUAGGCCUUUGUGGGUAACUGGAUUGGAGGCAAGACUUUAAGACUGCCUUCUGCUGGAGCCAGUAGUCUUAUAAAAGGCUAGCAUAGGGAACAGCACAGCAGGUAAACGGAGAGUUUGCCUGGGAAAUGUCUGAGAUAAGCUCAGGUAAGUGUUGUUUUUGGGGGGCGGUGUUGUAAGCUGGCGGGGUGAGUAUCCAAUUGUCUAUCUGAUCAUUUAUUUGACUGUGUGUUUGGCAGUUUGAACAACUCGGCAGUUUGAACAACUCAGCCAUUUGAAAAGUGUGGCAGAUUUAAAAGUUUGAAUUGGGAGGGCUUUGUUCUAAGCGGGCCUUCAGGCUCUGAUUGCAUUGGAGGCAUGGCUUUGAGUGGGCUUCCGGCUGGAGUCAGCAGCCUUAUAAAAAGCAUCCAGAGUGGACAGUGAGCAGGGCAGGAGUCAACAGCAGAGUUUCUCUUUCAGGUGGGCCCCACUGUGUAUGAUGGUUUUUCUUGCUUUUUGUUCUCUUCUUCCUUUUUUCCUCUCUCUUCCUAUUCAGGGGGCAAUAAAGCCCUCAAAGUAUUAGGCUCUUUGUUGCCCCAUCUCCAAUUUUUGAAGAUCUUUUACAAAUGUGGCCUUUAAAACAGACUGAAGUACCCAAUCUCAGUUUUUCACAUUCUUUACAGCUGUGGAAAAAAUGUCCAUGACUUUCCUUGCCUUCAGCUCUGGGUGGCUUUAGAGGUGGGCAGCUGUGCCUGGAAAACAUUUUCACUCUCAGCAGCAGCUCAGAAGAA